AGAGUUUGAUCCUGGCUCAGGACGAACGCUGGCGGCGUGCUUAACACAUGCAAGUCGAACGAUGAUGCCCAGCUUGCUGGGUGGAUUAGUGGCGAACGGGUGAGUAACACGUGAGUAACCUGCCCCAGACUCUGGAAUAAGCGCUGGAAACGGCGUCUAAUACCGGAUAUGACACCAACCUGCAUGGGUAUGGUGUGGAAAGUUUUUCGGUCUGGGAUGGACUCGCGGCCUAUCAGCUUGUUGGUGAGGUAAUGGCUCACCAAGGCGACGACGGGUAGCCGGCCUGAGAGGGUGACCGGCCACACUGGGACUGAGACACGGCCCAGACUCCUACGGGAGGCAGCAGUGGGGAAUAUUGCACAAUGGGCGAAAGCCUGAUGCAGCGACGCCGCGUGAGGGAUGACUGCCUUCGGGUUGUAAACCUCUUUCAGCAGGGAAGAAGCGAAAGUGACGGUACCUGCAGGAGAAGCACCGGCUAACUACGUGCCAGCAGCCGCGGUAAUACGUAGGGUGCGAGCGUUGUCCGGAAUUAUUGGGCGUAAAGAGCUUGUAGGCGGUUUGUCGCGUCUGCUGUGAAAUUCCGAGGCUCAACCUCGGACUUGCAGUGGGUACGGGCAGACUAGAGUGUGGUAGGGGAGACUGGAAUUCCUGGUGUAGCGGUGAAAUGCGCAGAUAUCAGGAGGAACACCGAUGGCGAAGGCAGGUCUCUGGGCCACUACUGACGCUGAGAAGCGAAAGCAUGGGGAGCGAACAGGAUUAGAUACCCUGGUAGUCCAUGCCGUAAACGUUGGGCGCUAGGUGUGGGGCUCAUUCCACGAGUUCUGUGCCGCAGCUAACGCAUUAAGCGCCCCGCCUGGUGUACGGCCGCAAGGCUAAAACUCAAAGGAAUUGACGGGGGCCCGCACAAGCGGCGGAGCAUGCGGAUUAAUUCGAUGCAACGCGAAGAACCUUACCAAGGCUUGACAUAUACCGGAAACAUCCAGAGAUGGGUGCCCCCUUUGUGGUCGGUAUACAGGUGGUGCAUGGUUGUCGUCAGCUCGUGUCGUGAGAUGUUGGGUUAAGUCCCGCAACGAGCGCAACCCUCGUUCUAUGUUGCCAGCACGUGAUGGUGGGGACUCAUAGGAGACUGCCGGGGUCAACUCGGAGGAAGGUGGGGAUGACGUCAAAUCAUCAUGCCCCUUAUGUCUUGGGCUUCACGCAUGCUACAAUGGCCGGCACAAAGGGCUGCGAUACCGCGAGGUGGAGCGAAUCCCAAAAAACCGGUCUCAGUUCGGAUUGGGGUCUGCAACUCGACCCCAUGAAGUCGGAGUCGCUAGUAAUCGCAGAUCAGCAACGCUGCGGUGAAUACGUUCCCGGGCCUUGUACACACCGCCCGUCAAGUCACGAAAGUCGGUAACACCCGAAGCCGGUGGCCCAACCCUUGUGGGGGGAGCCGUCGAAGGUGGGACUGGCGAUUGGGACUAAGUCGUAACAAGGUA
rnacentral:rRNA from 1 species